rnacentral:rRNA from 1 species
GGGAAGAGCUCAAAUUUGUAAUCUGGCGUCUUCGGCGUCCGAGUUGUAAUCUCGAGAAGUGUUUUCUGUACUGGCCCGCGUGGAAGUCCGUUGGAAUACGGCGUCACAGUGGUGAGAACCCAGUUCGCAACGCGGACCCCAGUGCUUUGUGAUACACUUUCGAAGAGUCGAGUUGUUUGGGAAUGCAGCUCAAAAUGGGUGGUAAAUUCCAUCUAAAGCUAAAUAUUGGUGAGAGACCGAUAGCAAACAAGUACCGUGAGGGAAAGAUGAAAAGCACUUUGGAAAGAGAGUUAACAGUACGUGAAAUUGUUGAAAGGGAAGCGCUUGAAGUCAUACUUGCUUUGGAUCCGUCCAGUGCAGGCCAGCAUCAGUUUCUGGGGCGAGAAAAGGGUAGGAGGAAUGUGGCCAUCUCGGUGGUGUUAUAGCCUCUUACUGGAUCUCGCUUUGGGGACUGAGGAACGCAGCACGCUUUUAGCAAGCCUCUCGGGGCUUUCGUGCUUAGGAUGCUGGUGUAACGGCUUUAAACGACCCGUCUUGAAACACGGACCAA